GCCCAGGUGGUGGAAUUGGUAGACACGCAGGACUUAAAAUCCUGUGAACCUAAAAGUUCGUGCGGGUUCGAGUCCCGCCCCGGGCA
rnacentral:tRNA from 1 species